GGUAUGUAUUGACCCCUAAAGAUCAGAUCCACCAGACGAUAAACUCAAUUCCGCACAGCUGCUGAGUCGUCGGACUUAUCCACCAAGGGAUUCGUGGAAUUUCUAUGGAUUGCGUUGGGGAAAAUCUACCAAAGCUAGGCAGAUAGAUAGACUCCUUUCCCGCUGCUAAGGGAAAGUAAGAAAAUCAAAAAUUAUUGUUUUUUAAUCAGCGCCUCCUUUUCUUUUGGGUAUGCAGGUACUACGAGUCCUCUCACUACCAACCAGCAGACAUCAUCUGGCUGGGUCUUGCCGGUAUCAACAACAAGAAAAAAACAAUUUAAACAGCAAUUCACUAUGGCUCUUGGCCCAGACAACGUCCUAGGCGUCGGGGAGAUCGGAGCAAGAAGGAAAGCCUAGACGACGUUUUUAUUCCUGGGCUGCAGUAAGCAGAUCGAGAGGUCGUUCCGCCCCUUGUCCCCGAAGAUGGGUAAUAUGUUCUCAUAAAUUCUUGCUCCAAUCUGACCUAGCUGGCGAGCGAUCCCAGUUCGCGGCAGAGAACAAGACAGCAAGCGAGCGUACCUUUGUUCGCUUCUUCUCCACCAAGCACGGAAGUUUAAGGAUAACUGUAGGUCGGUGGCUACCUAAGGAAACUCCGAUUCGAUCCGCCCCCCAGCUGGGAGGCAUCUACCUCAUCCCGAUCACAAGGAGAGGUUCACCAUGAUGGGGGUACUUUUCUUUUUUUUCCCUUCCGGAAAGAAUGAAAUGCAUAGGGGACCAUCCUUUUGUUGUGUUGCGGCAUGCUCCUCAGAUUUACGGAUUCGCAGGGGGCGGAACGACCUACUUAGUUGACUGACAAUGACAAAGGCUUGCGAAACUAACUAAGUAGGGCCCUUUGAAUUGAAUCUGAAGUAGUCUAUCAGUGGUGCAAAGCGGCUUUGUGCCCCUUUUCAGUAGGGGAGCGAAAGGUUAGACCUUAGAAAGUCAGCGAACAGCGGUUCUUCUAUGUAGGUAUGGCCUUCCCCCUUGACUCUCCUAACGUCGAGCUAAGUUACUUCGUAACCUUUGCGUAGCGUAGUAGAAUGAAGGCUACGCACUGACGCUCUCUUCUCUAUUAGCCUAAGCGUCUUCGAUAACUCGCUCGCCUACUAUACUCUAAAAAACUAUACAAUACAUUAGUAGGGUAGGCUAAGCCAUAGGUCCUUAGUAGCGUUGACAAAGAAGAACAGCCGGUUAAAAGACAGUGAAUCUUUAUAAAUAUGUAUAAAUAUAUAUAUAUUUUAUAUAGGCCAGCUUGACAAGCUACCCUUCCUCUUGAUCUUAGGUGCGAAGAGAAAGAUCUCUUUUUUAUGACUUCCACUUAUCUAUCGAUCCCGGCCCGGAAAAGUGACCGACCAGGGCCCUCUUUUUGAAUGAAAGAAAGGGUUUAUGAGCCCUAGCCCUGUAAGCCCACACCUGUGUAGAGUAGAUCGUUCAACACCUGCGGCACAAACCCAUUUUUGACCUAUUGGUCCUAGUAUCAUAGGCGACCGAACGGCCGCC